GAUGAACGCUGGCGGCGUGCUUAACACAUGCAAGUCGAACGGAAAGGCCCAAGCUUGCUUGGGUACUCGAGUGGCGAACGGGUGAGUAACACGUGGGUGAUCUGCCCUGCACUUCGGGAUAAGCCUGGGAAACUGGGUCUAAUACCGGAUAGGACGAUGGUUUGGAUGCCAUUGUGGAAAGUUUUUUCGGUGUGGGAUGAGCUCGCGGCCUAUCAGCUUGUUGGUGGGGUAAUGGCCUACCAAGGCGUCGACGGGUAGCCGGCCUGAGAGGGUGUACGGCCGCAUUGGGACAGAGAUACGGCCCAGACUCCUACGGGGGGCAGCAGUGGGGAAGAGUGCACAAUGGGCGGAAGCCUGAUGCAGCGAAGCAGCGUGGGGGGUGACGGCCUUCGGGUUGUAGACGCCUUUCGGUAGGGACGAAGCGUUUUUGUGACGGUACCUGGAGAAGAAGCACCGGCUAACUACGUG
rnacentral:rRNA from 1 species